GACGAACGCUGGCGGCGUGCCUAAUACAUGCAAGUCGAACGCAUUUUCUUUCACCGUAGCUUGCUACACCGAAAGAAAAUGAGUGGCGAACGGGUGAGUAACACGUGGGUAACCUGCCCAUCAGCGGGGGAUAACACUUGGAAACAGGUGCUAAUACCGCAUAAUUCCAUUUACCGCAUGGUAGAUGGGUGAAAGGCGCUUUUGCGUCACUGAUGGAUGGACCCGCGGUGCAUUAGCUAGUUGGUGGGGUAACGGCCUACCAAGGCUGCGAUGCAUAGCCGACCUGAGAGGGUGAUCGGCCACACUGGGACUGAGACACGGCCCAGACUCCUACGGGAGGCAGCAGUAGGGAAUCUUCGGCAAUGGACGCAAGUCUGACCGAGCAACGCCGCGUGAGUGAAGAAGGUUUUCGGAUCGUAAAACUCUGUUGUUAGAGAAGAACAAGGAUGAGAGUGGAAAGUUCAUCCCUUGACGGUAUCUAACCAGAAAGCCACGGCUAAC
rnacentral:rRNA from 1 species